UUUCCUUUCUUAAAGAGAGAUCUUUAAGUUUUUUGCUGUCAGAAUAUUUAGAUAUGAAUAUACUAUUUACAUUUUUUGAUAACAUAUGAGAAAAAUCUCUUUCUUCAAAAUGAACUAAAGUAUGCUGCUUGAAACUUUCUCGUGGGCAGCUUGUCAGUUGCCAGCUGCAAGUUGGUCUUGUAAGACAUUCGCCAAAGUUUCGGCCAAGUCACGUGUGGUUCUCAUCUACUGUUGCACGAAGUUCUAACUAACUUCCGGGAACAAACAAUUGCAACGUCUUGAUUUUCGCAGAACAAUGCAGCAAGUGUGGUCAGCUCUGUCGACUGUUAGACAAGACGUUUCCAUGGGUGCUGAAAGGAAAGUAAAAGAAGUACAAAUAAAUUUUACUAAAUGGCCACAUCAAUAUAAUUGCUUACGAUUGAAUGGUUGCAAUAACCGAAGCUUUAGUGUAGCACAGCACGCAAUAAAGCCAUCACUAGCACCAUCUAGCGGCGAGUGGUUGUACCAUAUGCAACAAACUACGAAACUUGGCGAAGCAAAAUAAGUAAUA